GUCGUCCUCCCCGGUUAAAGCCCGUUCCUGCGUACAGUUAUUACACUCGCCCAUGGUGGUGGUGGUGGUGGUAGGAUGUGACGGCCGAGCGGCAGCAUGCCUCAGUGACAACGCUGUCCGACGUCUCUGCGUGGGGGCAGAAGUGAACCCGACACAACCCUGCUGGGAACCUGGAACAUUACCUAACUCUUCACGCCCGUUUUCACUGGUUGCCAUGGAGAUGUGAGACCACUACGUCUCAAUACUCAUACAUUUUAGGACACAAAAAUUUGUCUGGAGCAUAUUUAUGUAAGAUUCAUGAAUUUAACAGGCACCACAUCCAAAUAUGCAAAUCAGCUUUUGACCUAAAUUCUAGCCCUACUUAUUCUUUUUUUAAAUAAAACGUUUAAACAAUGUAGCUGAAACUAGCUUUAUGUAUCCAGCUAUAUCAAAAUCACUGGGUUGUCAAUACCGAAAAAAAAUAUAUUCUUAUUUAUAUGCCCAUCUCGAAAAGCUGAAAAUCUUAUUUUCUAUCAUGCAACUCAGCUGUUUUUUUAUUUCACGUGUCCCAAAAAACAGAAAUGUACUUUAAAAUUACAUGACAUUCAAGAUGUACAAUUCCCAUAUUAAAAAGAAAGCUGACUACCAGUUAGAAAAUCAGAUAUCAAAAUUAGCCAAAAUUAGAUAGAAGAUAUGCAUGGAUACUUAUAUUAUCUUGUAAUUCAUUAAUUUUUUGUUUGUAAGUUUAUAAUGUAAAAUUUAGACUUUUAUGAGACCAGUAUGAUUUAAGUUGAAUUAAUUAGAAUGUAAAUAUAUCUGAUUGAAUUAAUUAGUCAGCAACAUACUCAAUUUACUAAGUAAGCUAUAUCAAAUACAAUUUUGUCAAUUUUUGUUGGUGAUUCAGGCUCUGGGAUGUGAGCCAUUUGGUUUUACAUUUAAGUAAACAAUAAUCAUCAUAGUUAUUUUUGAUGACAGGUUUAACCAAACUAAUUGAAAUCUGUAUUUCUCAAGCCAGAUCUCAUUAAAAACUCUGCAGGAGCUUGCAGUGGAAGAUGUUUUGAUUUCUAAUCCCUACACACAGCGCACUGAGCCAAUUUUAUGGUAGUAAUUACAGCCUAAUUCUUUAGCCGCAUCCGCAACAUACAGAAGGAAUGGUUGCUCUCAGAGCAUUUAUCAAAAACAAAUACAACAUUUAAAAGAAUCGAUGGAGAAGGAAAAGGAUGUGCACAAUUUAAGAUGUGACUAGGAAACAAUUAAGAACUUUUAUUGAAACAAAAUAAUAUCUUGUGUUAAAAUAAUUAAAUACACAACACAAUACUGUUCAGCUUAGUUUUAAGUCAUAAGCUGUCACAAUCAUAUUUGAAUUAAUACUGUAGAAGUAUUGUUAAAAUUUUACAUGUAUUAAUACCACACAGAUACAUGUUGCAAAGGAUUUAUUAAUUUAUUUCUCAGCACAAGGAAAAUAUUAUGGAAAAACAAAAUUUGCCACACAAGACUUGAUGUGAAUCUUUUCCACAAUAUUUGAUUAAUGACAUUGACAAUCAAGCAAAUAAACAUAAUUUCUCAUUUAGCAAUUUAGUACUACAAGAUAUAGAUUACAGUGAGCAAAAGGAGAAGGAAGCGAUACACGAACACAAUCUCUACUGUUAUGCAGAAACACAUGAUAAUAAGGUGACCUUUUUCUAUGCAACACCUAAUUCUACUGGCUAUCAAAAAUAACACUGUUUCUGGACCUCUCUACUUACAAAAGUAUAAUAAAUUACACACACAUUGUAAACACAUAAUGCUAUAUUUGGCAAGUUGAUGUCUGGGAUGUUAUUUGUUAUUUCCUUUUAAUGUCAGAGUAAGAGGAGAGUGUGAAAGCACAGGUAGCAUGAACAUCACAGUGGUUAGGAUUUAGCUGUAGAGUAAAGACAACAAUGGUUUUUGUUGCUGGUGGGAAAAAGGGCUAAGAGUUCAGUGAAAGAGAGAGGGAUUGGUUGCACAUUGGGAUGCUUCUAGUGCAUUAUUCACUGGGAAACCAAAACCACGAGUUUAUGUAUCAGACAUGCAGGAAAUAGUUUUGUUUUUCUCAGCUUCUCACAAGCGGAUGUGUCAUCACAGUUUCUAAGCAUAAAUGGGAGGACUAAGGAGUGCAAGUUGAUCAACUGCCAAAGAACUGUCACAGAAUGGGAAUAAGUCCUAUUUUCCCUUGAAAUGCAAGGGUGUGUUAUUAACCUAUGGCAUUAUGUUUAAAAAAAACCUGUCAUAAUACUGGAAACUACAUAACUGAAACUGUAGCAAAACUGUAAAUAAUAUGUUUAAGAUUAUUGGAUUGUUCAUGAUCUCCAUUUGGACUAUUAUGAGUAAGCCUGUUGGGCUCUUGGUUCACAGUGUGGGUUUCAAAUGGCUUUGAUUCAAAAUCAGAGGAAGCCUUUAAUAUAAAUAUAGGCUCAGUAUACAUACUUCAGGUGACACAAAGAAAAAAACAUGACAUUUUGACCCUAAAUAAAAUCUCAGCUCUCCUGAUGAAUAUUUGAUUUGUGCUACUGCAUUCCGUUAUGACAUAAAAACUAAGUUUUGAACUUAUUUUGAACUAAGUUCAAAAUAUUUGAACUGUUUUGAUAGUUCAAAUAUUUUUGAACUAUCAAAAUAGUACUUGAUGGAUUAUCAUACAGUCAAAUUAAAGUUCCACAUUUAGAGGUCUACAUCUUUAAAUAACUAAUAAGUUCAGAACAGAUAAGGAUGAACAAUUGUGUCUUACAAAGACACUUUAAACUGAAGUGUUUAAUUUCAUUUUGUUGCAUGUCAAUAGCAAGCAGUAGCAUUUAUACUGGUAAAUAUAUAUUUCCCUGAACUGGCUUGAUAAACUGGAGAGGUAAGCCAAAAUUACAAAACCUUUCACAACAUUUGUUGAAGAAAAAAAA